rnacentral:rRNA from 1 species
GACGAACGCUGGCGGCGUGCUUAACACAUGCAAGUCGAACGGACAGGCCCUGCUUUUGCUGGGCGCUCGAUUGGCGAACGCGUGAGUAACACGCGAGUAUCCUGCCCUUGACUGUGGGAUAACUUCAGGAAACUGGGGCUAAUACCGGAUAGGAGCUCUUGCUGCACGGUGUGGGUUGGAAAGUUACGGCUGUUGGGGAUGGUCUCGCGGCUUAUCAGCUUGUUGGGGGAGUAGUGGCUUACCAAGGCUUUGACGGGUAGCCGGCCUGGGAGGGUGACCGGCCACAUUGGGACUGCGAGACGGACCAGACUCGUACGGGAGGCAGCAGUGGAGAAUAUUGCGCAAUGGGCGGGAGCCUGAUGCAGCAACGCCGCGUGCGGGAUAACGGCCUUCGGGGUGUAAACAACUUUCGAAUGUGACGAAGCGUGAGUGACGGUAAUGGGUAAAAAAGCACCGGCUAACUACGUG